UGGGGAAUAUUGGGCAAUGGGCGAAAGCCUGACCCAGCAACGCCGCGUGAGGGAAGAAGGUCUUCGGAUUGUAAACCUUUGUCCUAUGGGACGAAACAAAUGACGGUACCAUAGGAGGAAGCUCCGGCUAACUACGUGCC
rnacentral:rRNA from 1 species